UGCUACGGGAUAAGCGCUGAAAGCAUCUAAGCGCGAAGCCCACCCCAAGAUAAGGGCUCCCUGAAGGGCCCCGGGAGACUACCGGGUUGAUAGGCCGCAGGUGGAAGCCCCGUGAGGGGUGAAGCCGAGCGGUACUAAUCGCCCGUUCGACUUGCACGCC
rnacentral:rRNA from 1 species